rnacentral:rRNA from 1 species
AAUCAACGCUGGCGGCGUGCCUCAGACAUGCAAGUCGAACGAUUAAAGCUCUCUUCGGAGAGUGCAUAGAGUGGCGCACGGGUGAGUAACACGUAAGUAAUCUACCUUCGAGUGGGAAUAACGUCCGGAACGGACGCUAAUACCGCAUAAUGCAGCGGCAUCGCAAGAUGACAGUUGUUAAAGAUUAUCGCUUGAAGAGGAGCUUGCGGCAGAUUAGCUAGUUGGUAAGGU